rnacentral:rRNA from 1 species
CAGCCAGACUCCUACGGGAGGCAGCAGUGGGGAAUAUUGCACAAUGGGGGAAACCCUGAUGCAGCGACGCCGCGUGAGCGAUGAAGUAUUUCGGUAUGUAAAGCUCUAUCAGCAGGGAAGAAAAUGACGGUACCUGACUAAGAAGCCCCGGCUAACUACGUGCCAGCAGCCGCGGUAAUACGUAGGGGGCGAGCGUUAUCCGGAUUCACUGGGUGUAAAGGGAGCGUAGACGGCCAAGCAAGCCAGGGGUGAAAGCCCGGGGCCCAACCCCGGGACUGCCCUUGGAACUGCUUGGAUGGAGUGCGGGAGGGGCAGGCGGAAUUCCUAGUGUAGCGGUGAAAUGCGUAGAUAUUAGGAGGAACACCAGUGGCGAAGGCGGCCUGCUGGACGAUGACUGACGUUGAGGCCCGAAAGCGUGGGGAGCACACAGGAUUAGAUACCCCGGUAU